GACGAACGCUGGCGGCAUGCCUAAUACAUGCAAGUCGAGCGAACAGAUGAAGUGCUUGCAUUUCUGACGUUAGCGGCGAACGGGUGAGUAACACGUAAGGAAUCUACCUAUAAGCGGGGGAUAACAUUCGGAAACGGGUGCUAAUACCGCAUAAUAUCUUCUUCCGCAUGGAAGAAGAUUGAAAGACGGCUCUGCUGUCACUUAUAGAUGACCUUGCGGUGCAUUAGUUAGUUGGUGGGGUUACGGCCUACCAAGACGAUGAUGCAUAGCCGACCUGAGAGGGUGAUCGGCCACAUUGGGACUGAGACACGGCCCAAACUCCUACGGGAGGCAGCAGUAGGGAAUCUUCCGCAAUGGGCGAAAGCCUGACGGAGCGGUGCCGCGUGAGUGAAGAAGGCCUUCGGGUCGUAAAACUCUGUUAUAAGAGAAGAACAAAUUGUAGAGUAACUGCUACAGUCUUGACGGUAUCUUAUCAGAAAGCCACGGCUAACUACGUGCCAGCCGCCGCAGUAA
rnacentral:rRNA from 1 species